rnacentral:rRNA from 1 species
GUAGGGGGCGAGCGUUGUCCGGAAUUAUUGGGCGUAAAGAGCGUGUAGGCUGUUCGGUAAGUCUGUCGUGAAAACCUGAGGCUCAACCUCGGGCGUGCGAUGGAUACUGCCGGGCUAGAGGAUGGUAGAGGCGAGUGGAAUUCCCGGUGUAGCGGUGAAAUGCGCAGAUAUCGGGAGGAACACCAGUAGCGAAGGCGGCUCGCUGGGCCAUUCCUGACGCUGAGACGCGAAAGCUAGGGGAGCGAACAGGAUUAGAUACCCUGGUAGUCCUAGCCGUAAACGAUGAACACUAGGUGUGGGGGGAGUCGAAUCCCUCUGUGCCGCAGCUAACGCGUUAAGUGUUCCGCCUGGGGAGUACGGCCGCAAGGCUAAA